CGGAACCGGUCGAAACAGCAGCCUCAGAUUAUUUGCUACUAUGAAAGGACAAUAACAGAACAGAAAUGAAUGCAAGGAGAAGAGGUGGGCAGCCUAACAGAGGAGGGGGGAAGUUUAACAAGCCAAGAGGAAGAGGAGCAGGAAGAG